rnacentral:lncRNA from 1 species
CCAGACAUGUCUGCAUCCAAGGUGAUCAGCUCAUGCAAGACCCUCGCUCUAGGAGCAUUUGUAGUACUUUCACCUGACAUGUAAUCAAAACCAUUAGCUUCAACCUCUCCUGACUAGGAGAAAUUGGUUAAUAGACCAUGUCUUUGCUUACCGAAUUCUUUAUUAACUCCAAUUCUUUUCAAAUAAUCAAUAUCCAAAUAUUCCGUAAAAGUUAAUAGUAGACGAGAAAUCUCCCAAGUGAACAUAUUCAAGGGAAACUACGGGCUAUACUCAGAGAAGGAACUAUUCAGAUGAUUUUGCAGAUUCAGCAGAGGAUAUGCUAAAUUUUAGAAGCUCAAACAGAAAGACCUUUGAAUAGGUUUAGAACUGCAAAGAUGAAAUGCGGAAGUGGAUAUACAAAAAGCAAUUAUCAUUAUGGAGAAGGAGGAGAAAAGGCAAGAGAAGGAGGAGAAGAGAUGAAGAUAGAGGAAGUAAAUGGCCCAUAAAACUCUCCUACUUACAUACCCUAAUCAACUGAUGUAAACACUAAUGACUGCUUUAUCCUGAGAUGCUGGAGUUGGGGCGGG